rnacentral:rRNA from 1 species
AAAAGUGAAAGACGGUCUUGCUGUCACUUAUAGAUGGAUCCGCGCUGCAUUAGCUAGUUGGUAAGGUAACGGCUUACCAAGGCAACGAUGCAUAGCCGACCUGAGAGGGUGAUCGGCCACACUGGAACUGAGACACGGUCCAGACUCCUACGGGAGGCAGCAGUAGGGAAUCUUCCGCAAUGGGCGAAAGCCUGACGGAGCAACGCCGCGUGAGUGAUGAAGGUCUUCGGAUCGUAAAACUCUGUUAUUAGGGAAGAACAUAUGUGUAAGUAACUGUGCACAUCUUGACGGUACCUAAUCAGAAAGCCACGGCUAACUACGUGCCAGCAGCCGCGGUAAUACGUAGGUGGCAAGCGUUAUCCGGAAUUAUUGGGCGUAAAGCGCGCG